CCAAACAAGAACAUAUGUAAUACUUAUAUUAGCCAUGGCCUAUGCACAGGAACAGGAAUUGCAGUUAUGGCAUCAAAAUGUUAUUCUAACAUGGAACUA